rnacentral:rRNA from 1 species
AGGACGAACGCUGGCGGCGCGCUUUAUGCAUGCAAGUCGAACGGACCUUCGGGUCAGUGGCGGACGGCUGAGUAACGCGUAGGCAAUCUGCCCAGUGGUGGGGGAUAACUCGCCGAAAGGUGAGCUAAUACCGCAUAAGUUCGGUGGUUGAAAUAGCACCGAGGAAAGCAGCAAUGCACCACUGGAGGAGCCUGCGUCCUAUCAGGUAGUUGGUGGGGUAACGGCCUACCAAGCCGAUGACGGGUAGCUGGUCUGAGAGGACGACCAGCCAGAAGGGAACUGAGACACGGCCCCUACUCCUACGGGAGGCAGCAGCAAGGAAUCUUGGGCAAUGGACGAAAGUCUGACCCAGCGACGCCGCGUGAGGGAUGAAGGCCUUCGGUCGUAAACCUCGUUUUUGGCGGGGGUAAGAAGAUCGUGACGGUACCCCGCGAAUAAGCCACGGCUAACUACGUGCCAGCAGCCGC